CGGAACAUAGCUCAGUCGGUCAGGGCGGUGGCUUUAUAAGCCAUGUGUCCCUGGUUCAAGUCAAGGUGUUCCGA
rnacentral:tRNA from 2 species